UUUGCUGACCCUUGAGGCAACCUGAGGCAACACCAUUUGGACUGGAGAUCAGAGGAAGACUGGAGAUCAGAUCAAUGGAAGGAAUCUUAUCAGAAUACAAGGAUCAGCAUUGAAGACACACACUCGAAGGCAGGCCGGAAGACAACAAUAGGCCAUGAUGGUGGCUUCAGACUGAAACAUUAACAACUGUUCAGGGUGACUGGAGCCAUACCUCUGCCCUUCUGCAAACCAAAAGCUAUGUGUAGAUGGCAAGAGAGGCGAGUCAUGACGUUAAGGAGCAAGAACAGCAAGAUUCGGACAAGUCAUGAUGUUCACACCAUUGACAGCACCAGAGGGGCACUAUAAGA